UGCCAGCCGCCGCGGUAAUAUGUAAGGGGCAAGCGUUAUCCGGAAUUAUUGGGCGUAAAGCGUCUGCAGGUGGAAUAAUAAGUAGGUUAUUAAAUACCGGAGCUCAACUUCGGUGCUGUAAUCUAAACUGUUAUUCUAGAGGAUAGGAGAGGUAUGCGGAAUUGUGCAAGUAGGGGUAAAAUCCGUAGAUAUGCACAGGAACACCAAAAGCGAAGGCAGCAUACUGGACUAUUCCUGACACUCAGAGACGAAAGCGUAGGUAGCAAAACGGAUUAGAUA
rnacentral:rRNA from 1 species